rnacentral:lncRNA from 1 species
GGAACUUCAGUGACAAGCCACCCUUUUGUUCUUACAACAUUUUGACCUCAUCUGUGAUCUAUAUGUAAAUGAACAGUACUACUGAAUAGACGCACAGCAACAUGGAAUCUAUUAAUAGAAGUGGUGGAAUGAUGACAAUGUCUUCAAAAAUUAAUGUCAUGUGGAUGUUGUACUCAUAGGAUAUUCAAUGCACCAUCAUGAUUGCUUAAACUUCUCACUUUAAAUGAAUGUGCAUACAUGUUGCUAAUCAAGAGUCCACUACUAAUGCAAUUGGCCUGUAUGACUUAAGGACCAGUCCAGUUGCUCUGUCUUACUAUUUUUUUUCUCACAAUUUCUGGUAUUUUCUUAGUUUCAGGUCGGACUUACAAUGUACGUUGAAGAACCUUGAUUUGAGAUUUGGCACUUGAGUGGAAAUCACUGAACAAUGAUUUGCAUUAAGCAUUGUUUUUUCUCAAUUAUUAUUUUGGAUGACAUGUCAUGAAGAACCUUGAUUUGAGAUUUGGAGAGAAGAAAACACCAACAAAGAUCUGCAUUAAGUUUCAGAUGACAUAUCAUUAAGAACCUAUGAUUUGAGAUUUGACAAGAAGAAUUAAAACACCAACAAAGAUCUGCAUUAUUAGUUUCAGAUGACUAAUCAUCAAAGACUUUGAUAUGAGAUCUGAGAAGAAGAAACCACCAACAAAGAUGUACUUUAAGUUUAAGAUGACUUUUCAUAAAAGACCUUGAUAUGAGAUCUGAGAAGAAGAAACCACCAAAAUUAAGAUCUGCUUUGAGUUUAGAUGACUUAUCAUCACAGACCUUGAUGUGAGAUCUGAGAAGAAGAAACCCUCAACAAAGAUGUGCUUUAAGUGUGCUCAUCGACGUUUGCCGGAUGAUUUGGAUCAAAAUUCAGAAGAGAGAAGACAAGGACUUUUGAAGAACUGAGGAGAACAAGACAAGAUAGUGUGAGGUUUAUUCAGCUAGUAUUUUUCCCACAUCCGAGAGAAUGUUUCAAAGAUUAUCGUGAUCUAGAAAUUGUUGAAUAGAGUUGAUUUCGCAAAAUUUGUGAAACUGAAUUGAAUAAUGGUGAAAAUUUAGUUGUCAGAGUGAAACAAUCAGAGCAAAACAAAAGCAAAAGCACUGGAACAGCUCAGGGAACUCUACUAUUGUUGCUUUCAAAUGAUUUAGUAUCCAAUAGUCUGAUAUUUAAAAUCAAUAGCGCAAAGUUAAGACUUGAGUUUAAAGUUGAGCUGUAAGCGUUUUAGAAGAAACUUCUUCCUACGCUUUUGCUGUCUUUCAAAUUUUUUUCUGAGCUUCAAAAAAUGAAGCGAAUACGUGGAAAAUUCUGCGAAAUAGCUUGCGAAAUUUUUUUCCAGUGUUAUCACAGAACAAAUCAUUGCCGCUACAAAAUGUGAUGCAGCAUUCAAUCAGGACAUGUAAACACAUGUGCUGCUUGCAUGCUCUGUUGUGUUAUUUUGUAGUGGCAAUGAUUUAUUCUGUGAUUAUUUUAGUUUUCAUUUUACGAGAUUUAUCAGAAACUAUUGUAAAAAUCUUGACAGAAUAAGCCAGAGCUUGUAAUCGCAUCGUCUGUUAAUCAAAUGAAAUGUUUCAUCAACAAUCAGUUUUUUAAUACUCGUUUUUGCCAGAAAAUAUUCAGAAAGCUUUAAUUUUUGUUUUCAAACUUCCAAAUUAUUUAUUCAUCUAUACACGGCUGUCAUUAGACUUAAUAAUCGAUCGUUUGAAGACCCAGCAAUUUGUUAAUGGUAUUCCACAUUUUGACUUAGUAUUUAUCUCAGUGUUCAUUUAUAUUUGACUUCGGUAAUCGUGCUUUCUCGACCUUGCAGUUUUGAAAGUGUUGUAUAAUCAUUGCUUGUAAUUGAGUGUUGCAAAUAAGUUUAGUGUUUACUUUAAUCAGUUGUAAAUUAAGUAGAUGAAACAAAGCAAUCAAUAAAGUAUUCACAACUUUAACUGUCUCUUA